CCAUUCAUAACUGUGAAACAUCAAUGACACAAAGGAUCCCAAAAAGUAUGUCUAUUAAUAAUAAAGCAAAACCAAACACACAACUCUGUCAUGGUCGGUGUGCAGUUAGACCCAACACAGAGAGACAGAAGCAGGAUUAACGGUCGAGCAGGUUUAUUCGGUGCAGGAAAACCAGGAGGACUGCAGCCUGGCAGCAGCGUCACAGGUUGGAUCGAGGAACUGCUCCAUCCACCGCCACGGAGGAAACUCAAACUGAAGCUGUACGGGCUCAACGUGACCUCUUCAACCGAGGUCCUCCAAUAGGACCAGGACUGGCAGAAAAUGGAGUACCUCCAGGACUUGGACUGGCAGAAAAUGCUCCUGCACCUCCUCUGGGGGGGUAGAUGCUGUCUGAUGUUCUACAGAACAUCCGUCGGUAGUGAUGGCGUCCUCAUGACCAUUAAAGGGACGGAUGGAGACGUCCUCUGGGACUAAACAUCUGCAGAUCACCUUCACCAUGAGUCACUGCUUCAUCUGAAAUCAACUUCUUGGUUCAAAAUCAUCUUCUUCCUUCAAUAUCAUCUUCUCCUUUUAAAAUCAUCU